AUUUCAGUCGCAGAGACAUGGCUUAUUUUCUGAGGCGGGGACUCGGCGAUAUCUCCCACUGAAUUCCGCAGGAGGAAGGAGGCCCACCUUGUGCCUGGGUCUUACUGGAGGGCAAGAUUGUCCCUGCAGGUUCCCUUAGGAGCCUGGAUCAUGUGGGAUCAGAAGUUCAUUUCUAUUUAAACAACUGAACUCUAGGGCUCCUCAUAGAUCCCUUGGUGUGUCAUAGUUCAGAAACCCCUUUCAAUGCUUCAACCCAUCAGACUUGGAGUUACUCAAAGAGAAUGAUGGAAAUUAACAGGAUCCUGCACCCACCCAGAGCUCCUGUGCUCAUCCAGAGCUCCUUCUGCCCCACCCAGAGCUCCUGUGCUCAUCCAGAGCUCCUUCUGCACCACCUAGAGCUCCUGCCCCACCCAGAGCUCCUCCUGCACCACCCAGACCUCCUGCACCACCCAGAGUUCCUGCCCCACCCAGAGCUCCUCCUGCACCACCCAGAGCUCCUUCUGCACCCACCCAGAGCUCCUGCACCACCCAGAGGUCCUCCUAAACCCACCCAGAGCUCCUCCUGCCCCACCCAGAGCUCCUGUGCUCACCCAGAGCUCCUCCUGCCCCACCCAGAGCUCCUUCUGCUCCACCCAGAGCUCCUCCUGACCCACCCAGAGCUCCUCCUGCAUCACCCAGAGCUCCUGCGCUCACCCAGAGCUCCUCCUGCACCACCCAGAGCUCCUCCUGCCCCAUCCAGAGCUCCUGCACCCACCCAGAGCUCCUCCUGCCCUACCCAGAGCUCCUCCUGCCCCACCCAGAGCUCCUGCAUCCACUCAGAGGUCCCCCUGCCCCACCCAGAGCUCCUCCUGCCCCACCCAGAGCUGCUCCUGCACCCACCCAGCAGUCCUCCUGCACCACCCAGAGCUCCUGCACCCACCCAGAGCUCCUCCUGCCCCAUCCAGAGCUCCUGCACUCACCCAGAGCUCCUCCUGCCCCAUCCAGAGCUCCUCACCCACCCAGAGCUCCUGCAGCAGCUUUCUAUCAGAACAGCAGCAGCACAGUGGCAGCCAUGGUUACAGGAUGUUGCUCCCUCGCGGGGUCUGUUCCACACUUUACAUGGGUGUCACCUCCCUUGUCCCCAGGAGGUGACACACUUCACAGAGGGGGAGACUGAGGCAGGAGAAGUGACCCAGAAGAACUGGCGGCUGGAGCCAGCUCCAGGCAGCCUGAUGGGGCCAGGUCAUACCCCCGACACCGACACCAAGCCCCACUCCAAGUCCCUUUCCUCACUGAGAUUCCUGAAAGCUGAAAUGUCCUCAGCUACAUGGUGGCACAGUCACACCUGGCAUACUCCAUGAAUAUGAAAUUUUUACCUGGCAAAGUUCAUGAGGUACAGGUGGGAAACCCUAAUUUUCAACCUUGGAACUGUGGUCCAGCUAGGGGCGUGGACGCUGAUGAGCAGAGCUCAGAGGUGUGUCUGUCAGGAGAAACUCUCCUGCUGGGGCAGCAGGAGGAAGUCGGCUUGUUUCCAGCGUCAGAUGGGUGCAUCUGCGCACCCAUCAGGGACCUGCCUUCUGAACACCGUGCCCCCCUUCUGCUCAGGUGCCUGUCUCUCCCUGGUGGGCAUCAGGUGCCCUGGAGUGGUGAGGCCUGGGAGGCUGCCAGGAGCACUGUGUCUGAUGCCCCCAGCCCAGGCCCACCCGUCCCUGGUGCUCUGUGGAGUGGAAGAACGAAUGACAGGCGCGAGGGCAGCCAUGCUCCUGAGACAGCGAACGUGGAGCCAAGCCCACACUGGUGGGGGCUGCCACUCAGGCAGCUAGAGCAUUCUGGCAUCACAUUUUCCAUGAUCACUUAGGGCAGCCACCGAGCAUCCAGCCCAACUCAGGUUCCCCUUUUGUCUGAGCCAAUGGCCUCAAGCUACUCUGUAUGGGGAAGAAAAAGCAGUGUCUUCUUUCCUGCCCUUCUGGGUUCUUAGUAGGGGUGGACUCCUGUUUAAAAAAGAGAUUCACAAGAGAAAAACAAGCAAAGUGGAUUCACAUGUGCGCUGCACCCUCCCCCUGCCCCACCCACGUACCUGAGCCAUACCCAGAGAAAUGGGCCAGUCUCAAAGAUGUGUGUGGACCAGCCUUCAGCACAUCACCUGCUGGGACAGAGCAGUAAGAGCAAUGGGGAGGGGGAGGGUCUGGCUGUGUCCCCGCCCAAAUCUCACCUUACACUGUAGCUCCCACAAUUCCCAUGUGUCUUGGGAGGACCUUGGUGGGAGGCCAUUGAGUCAUGGGGUUGGCGUGUUCUGGUCUCUGAGAGUCAUUUUUGGGGUGGUGUGUUCUGGUGUCUGAGAAUCGUUUUUGGGGUGGCAUGUUCUGGUCUCUGAGAGUCAUUUUUGGGGUGGCGUGUUCUGGUCUUUGAGAGUUUUUGGGGUGGGGUGUUCUGGUCUCUGAGAGUCGUUUUUGGGGUGGCGUGUUCUGGUCUCAGAGUUGUUUUUGGGGUGGUGUGUUCUGGUCUCUGAGAGUUGUUUUUGGGGUGGCACGUUCUGGUCUCUGACAGUCGUUUUUGGGGUGGCAUGUUCUGGUCUCUGAGAGUUGUUUUUGGGGUGGCGUGUUCUGGUCUCUGAGAAUCGUUUUGGGGGUGGCAUGUUCUGGUCUCUGAGAGUCAUUUUUGGGGUGUAUGUUCUGGUCUCCCAGAGUCGUUUUUGGGGUGGCAUAUUCUGGUCUCCAAAAAUCAUUUUUGGGGUGUAUAUUCUGGUCUCCAAGAGUCAUUUUUGGGGUGGUGUGCUCCGGUCUCCCACGUGAGAAACUGAUGGAGAGUGGAGGGCCCUAGACACUGGGCCCGGCAGCUCUAACGAAGUUCACAGGCACGAACUUUACCUUCGCUUUUAUUUCUGUGAAACAAAGGAUCUGUUAAAAGUCUAAUUAAGGUUCUGUGUGUGCAAACCCUUUUCCUGAAGUGCCACUCUAUUUUUUUUAAUGAGAGCAUAAACCAAAAAGAAAAUCCUUAGAAGUAACUUUCUUCUGUUGACAAGCACUUGGACUCAACGUUCCGUGAACACAGCAAAUCCUCUCCUUUCUCGUAGGCAGAGACGUGUCCUGGCCCUGAGGUUACAGGGGCUUGGCAUCAGACGUCUGGCGUGUGCUGAGGGGGUGUGGCCGUGUUGACCACUUCCCAACGAUAGCAGUGGAUCCAGCUUCAAAGGAAAUAAAUCUAUGCCAUUUCCUGCACCAUGCCAAGCAGUAAGUUAACAAGUGAAAAAUUCUACCAAGGCCAUCAGGGUGAAUGAAUGAAUGAAUAAAUACAUGAAUACAAUUGAGCGUGAAUUUUAGAAGCACAGUGGGAUACUUUUGUCCAAAAACCUGUCAGAUCCACAGUUCAGUCUGAGCCAUCCAGCCAUAGCAAUAAAGUUAAAAUUACCACGUGGUACAGAUGUGUCCCCAUCAAUGAUGCUCAGCAUGGAGAUGGCCGACUUGCCCCAGAGCUGGAGGAGGACGUGGCCGCAUCUGCCCACGACUGGGUCCCUAGGGAGAUUUCGCAGGGAGGGUGUGCAGGGUCCUCCUUCUGCCAAUGGCACAUGAUGACUGAGACUCACCUCUCAGGAGCCGCUGGCACCCCCUCUAGCAUGGGGAUCCUAAAAAAUUCUUGAUGCUGAAGCAACGUCAGUCGUGUUGCAAUUGUACUUCUUUGGCAAAGGGCUGUCUUUUCCUUCAUGACAGAUUUCCCUACGGAAGCCUUUUCAUUUUGGUACCGGCAGGUACAGUAAUGAGUCUAUUUUAGAAAUGUCAGUGGCGUUUUAUGAUGCGGCCAUACCAGAGGCCCAGUGGUGAAGCUGCUGGUUUACAGUUCGUCUCUAAGUGAAUGCAAACAAAUCUGGUCCUCGGAGCCCUGCUAAUACACAAUGUUCAAUUUUUAAUUUCCAGUCCAUCUUAGAUUACGGGGAUGAAAAACAACAUUUAAUCCCUCGUUAGCACAUGAAUAAGCGGAAGCUGUCAUUUUCAACCACACAAUAACGGGAUUAUCUCAAGAACUGUCAGUUUAUGUGGAAACAUUAUGUUGCCCAAAUUUUCAUAAAAAUUAGCAGUGGAUAAUAUUCGAGAUCAGAGCGAUGGAAAGAGAAAAAUAUGCAUUCAUGGUAAUAAAUAUUCAUAUUUGUCUGCUCGGGAGAUGAAAAUCUAAUCAAGGGGCUAUUGAAGCUCUGGCUUUUAUUUUUUUAACCAAGACGUUUCAUCUAAAUUGGGUUUGAUAUGGAAAUCAGUCUCACUCAAAGUCCUCCAGGCCACGAGCUCGCCGGGCUCACGCGGGGCGGGUGGCCACUUCGUCACAUGUUGCUCCUGGCAUGUGCCACCCGAGAGCAGCCUGGGUUCAUCCUGUGGCUCUCCAGUUGGUGUCUCCAAGUUUAACACCACGGAGUGCUGGGAGCUCCCUCCCUUUUUAAAGGAAAAAACAAUAUGAUUUCAUGCCGGUUAACUCCCGGCUGCUAUAGGGUUAAAAUCAUCUGUGUUUUUGCUUUUGUUGACAAUUACCAUAAAUCAGAAGACACUCUGCAUGGCGCUUAAUGAAAUAUGUAUGAUUGUAAAAAGAAAAGAUGGGAGCUGCAGGAUGUUGCUCUGUGUGCGUGUGUGCACGUGUGCGUGCGUGCACAUGUGUGUGUCGGGCGUGCGUGUUAGGGCGUGUGUUCCUGCUGUUCUCACAGAGGCCGUCCUUUCCCUACACAUGGGCAGGCUUGAAAACACGGAAUCCAGGAGCUCCUCAGUUAGUAAGCGUGGGUAUGGGGUCAUCACACUGAUGCUUCCAGCCCCUUCCCAGUGUCCUAGGGUUGCCACUCUUGAGCACUGGCAGGGUCAGCAUGGGGCUCCCUGGUGAGUGAGGUCUCCUGUGCACACAGGCCACCAGGAGGGUCACCUUUUCUAGCUUACACUUAUAAAUUCCUGGAAAGCAAGACCAAGAUGGGCUCAUCUGAGCCUUCAGAGGGAAUGCGGGCAGGCCCUUCAGCGUAACAGAACCGGAACUCGGCCAAGUAGCCUUCUUUCUGCAUUGAAAUGCUUCCUACUGACAUAAAUGGGAUUUUCCUUGGGGUGCUGUUAAUUAUGUCAGAGGAUAGAGUGUUCAUAUUCACCACAUUUUAAAACCACACCCCCAUAGUUCCUGUUCCUCUUCUUCCCGGUCAAGCAGAGCUGAUCAUGGGACAAUUUGAUUAUUUUGGCGAAGGCCCUGGAGUACAUGGUUUCUGACGCGGACGUCUCUGGCACACGCCCUCCUCUCCUGUCUCUGCUGCUCCUGACUGCACAGGGCCCGUUCAUGAGACCCAGCUCUGAGGCCCACAGGGAGGGUCGGCCCUUCCUCAGCACACUGUUAGGGACACCUUCUGCCCUACCCACCAAGACCCAGGGUCCAGAGACAUGGCCUUCCUCUGUGUGAUGUGGGUGGGGUGCACGGAGGGGAGGAGAGAGGACCCCAAGGAAACCUGGUGCCACACUAAGACCUGGGGUUCCCCAGGAAACCCUGGUGUCUCACUCAGACCUGGGGCCCCCAGGAAACCCUGGGCCUGCACUCAGACCUGGGACCCCUCAGGAAACCCUCGUGUCUCACUCAGACCUGGGGCCCCCCGAGGAAACCCUGGGCCUGCACUCCAACCUGGGGCCCCUCAGGAAACCGUGGUGUCUCACUCAGACCUGGGCCCCCCCCGCCCGAGGAAACCCUGGGGCUACACUCAGAUCUCAGGUCCCUCCAGGGACUGUGGCAUCCUACAUCUUCCUCUUCGGGUAAAGGUGAGUGAGACCUCCCAGGGCAGUGAGGCCUGUUUCAGAACAUCCUCCUCCUGGAGGCUGCCAAGAUGCCUGUUCCUAGAGCUUCUGGCAACUCCCAGAGGCUCCCCCCUCCCACGACACCAUGCUGGCACUGUCCCCAAGUGGCCACUGACAACCUCCCAGCAGCUGUUCGGACAUUCCCUCUUAGAAAGUCCUCAGCCCUGGGGUGUGGGGGCCGUGUGAGGCCCCUUAGAGCACCACUCCCUCUGCCCCCGAGCCAUCCUCACUCCUGGGGGGCCGUGUGGCCUCUCCCAGCCCCACUCAUGAGUCGCUGGUCUUCCCGAGGCCACCCCGGGGACAUGGUAGGUGCUGAUCGCCCAUCCGCCUGGCUUGGCGUCUGCACGUCUUCCUGGGAGAAACAUCUUCUAGGGCCCUUUGCCCAUGUGAGGAGCUGCCAAGGAAAUGGAUUGUUUGUGGUGGUGUUAGUAUCUAACUGUGAUGUUUUUCUAAGGAAAGGGAUAAUUUGCAUAGGAAAAAAUUCGUGAGGCUUUAGACACACCCACCCAUCCUGUCUCCAGGCUCUGUCCUGGGACCCCUGCUGGUUCAUUCAGUCUCCAUGCGGGGAGUUCCCUUCCAGAAGAGUGGCCCGUCACCUCCGCCUCACCUCGGGGCCAGCAGAAAUAGCAGGGGUUGGUUCCCAACCAGAGACCAAGAAUGAAACAGGGCUUGGAUGAGCGCCCCAGCACCCAGUCCACGGCCCAGGGCGUUGAGCCUCUCAGAGAGGACCACAGUGUUGGCCAGGAUUCAUGAAUUCUGACAGCAUCCGAGGAGCUGCAGCCUCCCCAGACCGAGACCGCCAGGAAAACGAGGCUGCUGCAGUGGCUGCUGCCAAGGCCGAGCUGCCCUGCUGACCCUCUGCAGCCCGUGCCCACCAGGGUGGGGCUCAGCCCCUUCUGACCCUAGGCCUGAGGUGCUGCCAUCGUUGCGGCCACCAGGGGUCACACGUGCUCGCCUCUGGCACAGGCCACGCCCGUGAUCAGGGCUGCACCCCCAGGAGGUGCCAGGUUGUGGGAUGUAGAGGAUGCAGGUGGGGGUGUGAAGAAGAGCUGGAGAGAGGCCUCGGAAGUGCCUGGAAGCAUCUGCCUUCGGAAUCACCCUGUCUGCUGGAAUUGAGACCAGUAAAGGCCCCGGGGAAGGGGUGCCAGUGAUGACUCAUUUUCUAAUAUUGGGUCUGAAUUGCAGCUUCCGCUGCCACCGCUUCAGAAAGAUGCCAUUGGGCCCGGAGCAAGGCUAUCAGAAACUGCUGAUAGGGUUCCUCCUGCCGUGAAUACGGUGGCUGAUGGGAGGAAGCCCUCGUGCGCUCCCUUGGCGCCCACGGAAUGCCUGGAAACUCUCCAGGUUUCUCUUGUUUGAAGAACGAGCCCCCGAGAGGCUUCCCGGACAGUACAGUCUGGACCAUGUCCAAGCCCUUUAGGAAAACUCUGCAGCAAAAUUCAGCGUUUCCAAAAUAGUGAUGUCAGGGUGACCCGUGACACAGCCUGGGCUCUUCCUCCCAGGACAGUUCCCACACGGGUGCCAGACCAUGCAGCCCCCAGGGCGUCUGUUUGCCGUGUGUGAGCACGAGUGUGCAUGUGUGUCUGCGUGUGUGUGAGCACGAAUGCUUGUGUGUCUGCAUGUGUGUGAUAACAUGUGUGGGUGUCUGCGUGUCUGUGCAUGAGCACGAGCGUGCAUGUGUCUGCGUGUGUGUGCACUAGUGUGUGUGUCUGCAUGUCUGUGUGCAUGAACAUGAGUGUGCUUGUGUGCGUGUGUCUGUGUGCAUGAGCACUUAUGUGUCUGCAUGUGUGUGUGCUUGAGCAUACGUGUGUGUGUGUCUGCCUGUGUCUGUGUGUGCACUAGUGUGCAUGUGUCUGCAUGGGUCUGUGUACGUGAGAACGAGUGUGUGUCUGCAUGUGUCCGUGCGUGCGUAUGCACGGUGUGUCUGCCUCUGCAUGUUUGUGCAUGUGCCUGGGUUACUCUGCUACCUGCCAGCAAACCCCAGCCCUGCCUUGUGCUGCUGGGUGGCACAGCCUUCUCUGUCCCCCUCCACUUCUUCCCAGACCCUGGAGCUGUCUGUGGAGCAAGUAGGAAGUUCCCCUACUGGUGAGAGGCCGUGCAGGGGACCCUGAAGCUUUGCUGAAAUGAAAGUUCUAGUUAAGGGAAAUAGGAGCUUCCUUGUGAACAUGGUUGGUAGGAGGAGGGCACCGUGGCUGGGGCCACCUCGACAAGCAGAGGCAGGAU